UAGGGAGGGUGCAAACGUUGCUCGGAAUUAUUGGGCGCAAAGCGCUCCUAGGCGGUCUAUUAAGUCGGGUGUGAAAGCCCUGGGCUCAACCCAGGAAGUGCACUCGAAACUGAUAGGCUUGAGUACGGAAGAGGGUCUCGGAAUACCCGGUGUAGAGGUGAAAUUCGUAGAUAUCGGGAGGAACACCAGUGGCGAAUGCGGAGACCUGGGCCGAUACUGACGAUGAGGUGCGAAAGCGUUGUGAGCAAACAGG
rnacentral:rRNA from 1 species